CGCCCCGCUAGCUCCCCGCCUGCACCCCUGGCAGCCACCCGAGACUGAGCAGAGCGCCAGGCUGAGCGCAGUUCUGUGCUGGGGCGACCGGGCUCUGUGGUCCGCGUGGCACAAACGUGACCCACCGCGCACACCUGCAGGGCGCGCCCACUCCCGCACUCACUCGGCUGGGCGCGCCAGAUUCCCAGCAGAGCAGCCAAGGGCCACGUUUCCAGCCCAAGGCCAGCAGGACCGAGUCGCAAAGGGAAGUCAAACUGUCGGUGCUUCCGGACGGCGGCGGACGGCCAGACCCUCACCUGGUAGCGAGUCGCCAACUCCAUGCUUCCUGACGGGGCGCCAGUCUCCUCCCAGCACGCGGCCACGGGAGCCCGGACUCGCCACGGCCCGGCGCACCAAGAACGCCCCGCACCCGAGCAGCCAGCGCGCAGCGCCCGGAGCACAGGCGGGCCCCGGGAGGGGCGCACUCGGCGCUCGGGACAGGGGGAGCGCGUCGCGCUGCCCGCUCGGUGCCGCCUCACUGGGCCUCGUGGCUCCGACCACCGUCCCAACUUCGCGGCCACUGACCUUGUCUUCGCAGGCGGCGCGAGAGGGGGCUGCAGUUGGGGGUGGCAUGAGCAGUUACCAGUGUUAGGGCGCCGGGUUCCCCCCUGUAGGGGAGGGAGGGAGUGGAGCCGUCCGGCGGGGUUUAGCGCGGGAGAAAUGAGGGGGCUGUCCCGGCGCAGCCUCCAGCUGGCACGCGCGCAGGAUACUUGGCAGGGUUUAUUCCAGGUCAUGCCCUAGGGCUCGAGCUUCUGCUGCAACCCCUGUCUCUGAUCCAGGAAAAUAUUGUAGGGCGGUUUUGGGGCUUGUUUUGUUUUGUUGUUGUAAAGGGGCAGCGUUCUCUUUGGGAGGAUUCCGUCUCCCAAAACAUUUGCUACAGGGUUCACUUUGCAAAACGGGCAACCCAGGUUUCUUUACCAGGGCCCCGGUGGACACUGCAAAUCCGCCUGAAACUUUAAACGGCCAUUACACAGUAGGCCUCCACACCCACCAAACAGAGUUUGUAGAGGUCAGGAAUGCUGAUUAAUUUAGCAGAAUUGACCCCGGCACCUACUAAGCAUCAGGCACUGGGUUAGUCCUAGGAACAGAAGGGUGAACAAAAACAGGCCCCUGCUCUGUUGGAGUUUACAGCCUGAGAGCCAGUUACCAACCUAAUUGCAUUAUUCUAAAUAAAUACAACAAUGAUGCAAAUAAGCGUAAUGAUAACAAUGAUGUAAAUUUUAUAAAUUAGAUUUAUAAUUAAUAUUAAUUUGAUACCACUAGCAAUGACAAAUGUAAUGAUGAUGCAAAUAAAUGUCAAUUUGGAGCGAUGAUGCCAUGAGAAAAAAGGCAAGUGGUAUUAUGGUGGUGUAAAAUAGGGAGACAAUCUGGGAGAGGUAAGGGAAUACUUCUUAGAGCUCAGGUAUGAAGAGUGAGGAAUUAAGUUUGUGGAAAUUGUGCGAGACUUGAAGUAGAGAGUGGGGAGAAUGGUAAAUGAAGUUGUCCUGAAAUCACAGCAGGUUUGCUGGACAGUGUCGAACGCCUAUUUAGAACCGUGGUCAUGGGUUUACAAUAGAGCAUCCUGUAUGCAUAGGACCUUCUGCAGCCCCUCUCAACUGCUUAGGAUCUGACGUUCAUCUUUAUUGAGUGAGUGAAUGAAAUUUGCUAAACAUUUACUCAAGCUUUAAGAGAAAACAUGGAAAAGGUUUAUUUCCUUUGGUUAGUUCAGCAAACAACAUGUGUUAUGUGCUCUCAUGUUCCAGCCCUCAGUGUUCUUACUUCCUGGUAGUAGUAAGACCAAUACAACAUUGUCUAACUUAAAAUGUUUUAUUUUUAUUGGAUGUUAAUUAUUCAUUGUAGCUACUUCAUUUUUAUUAUGCUUUAGAGUUUUCCUUCUCAUGCAGUAUCUCUUUGAAUCCUCUCAAUAUCCUUCCAGAUUCUUAUUGUCCACAUUUUUGAAAUAAGGAAACAGAAUCUAAGAAAAUACAUUUAAGAGAUCCCUGCCACCCUGCCACUAAGUGACAGCAGCAGACUGCCAAACUGAAAACCAUUCCUUAUUCCUCCAGAUCCAACAUUCUUUCCCUUUCUUGUAGUUUUUCCCUUUGGCUGCCAGGAAGCUUACAGUGAAAAUUAAUUCAAUCAGAGCUCUUCUUCCUUGUUUUGUGGGGGCUUUUUUUGUUUUUUGUUUUUUGGGGUUUUUUUUAAGAUAAUUGCUUCCUCAGGAACUGCUGAUCUUAUUUGCACACCUUUUCGUUGUAGGUUAAAUCAAAUCCAUUUUGGAAAAGGGAGCACAAAUUUGAAGCAGGUCAGAUUUUGCAAAGCACUUGAAGCAGCGUAGCCUAGCUACUUCUGUAUCAGGAAACCUAUAAGCUGUUGAGCCUUUCUCUUCAGAAAUUUGCUAUAACCAGCCCUAAGUCCAGAUGACAACCCGGAAAUUUUCUUCCUGGGCUUAGCAAAGCCUGUGCACCCUUGAUGGUAUUUAGUAAUUGGUUAUAUAGUGCUGUGUUUUGUUUUGUUUUGGUCAGGCUUUGGGAAAAUCCCUAAGGAACCAGAGGAUUUUAACAUCACACUGCAGUAAUACUUUCUAAUAAUUAUUAUUGAUAGGGUUCACAGGAUGUGAGCACUGGGUUUCAUCAUGGCACUGCAAGAAUGAGUGUCCCUUCCCAGAUGCAACAGUACCUUAGUUGUGGGCAAACUCCCUAGUCCUCCCCACAUAACAGAAAAUCAUGCUGGUUUGGUGCUCUGGACAACUCACCAGAGAAUCUACCUUCUGCAGAGAGCUGGAAACAGCAUGAGCAACUGAGAGAAACUUAGGCCAGCUUCUGUCCAGUUCAAACUGGUUGAGACCACCAAUUCUUCAAGUGCCUGAGAGAUGUCAGAGGGUCAAAAACUCCAACCUCAGAUUAUGCUAACACUGCCAUUUUUCUGUACACACGUCCCAUAUAAUGCCAUGAACUCUGGCUACAUUUGUGCAGGAUGAGCCUGUUACUUCAUUUUUUCCCAGUGCCAAUUACAUUUCCCCAUACCUCAGACCACCCCAUUUCCCUAAACCAUAAAUAUCCCUAAGCCUUAUCUUCAGGGAGGCUUAUUUCAGAGCUAUUCUCCCACCUCCUCACUCCAUGCCCUUGUGAAUAAACCUUUUUUUUCUUUUGCAAAACUCUUGUCACAGUAAUUGAUUUACUGUUCAGGGCAGAACACACUAGGACCUAGCUGGUAACAGUAUCUGAGUACCACUUAGCAUUGUAUGUGGUCAUGAAUAAAUAAAGUGACGGUUAAACAAGAAA